rnacentral:rRNA from 1 species
GUACGAGUUUCGAUCCGUCGGACGUCAGGACGAACGCUGGCGGUGUGCCUAAUACAUGCAAGUCGAGCGGACCGAACGAGGGCUUGCUCUUGUUGGUCAGCGGCGGACGGGUGAGUAACACGUGGGCAACCUGCCCGCAAGACCGGGAUAACUCCGGGAAACCGGAGCUAAUACCGGAUAACACCGAAGACCGCAUGGUCUUCGGUUGAAAGGCGGCCUUUGGGCUGUCACUUGCGGAUGGGCCCGCGGCGCAUUAGCUAGUUGGUGAGGUAACGGCUCACCAAGGCGACGAUGCGUAGCCGGCCUGAGAGGGUGACCGGCCACACUGGGACUGAGACACGGCCCAGACUCCUACGGGAGGCAGCAGUAGGGAAUCUUCCGCAAUGGGCGAAAGCCUGACGGAGCGACGCCGCAUGAGCGAAGAAGGCCUUCGGGUCGUAAAGCUCUGUUGUGAGGGACGAAGGAGCGCCGUUCGAAGAGGGCGGCGCGGUGACGGUACCUCACGAGAAAGCCCCGGCUAACUACGUG